rnacentral:lncRNA from 1 species
AUUCCUCUGUGGCAAUUAUUCUCCUCCCUGAUCUUGAGGGGAUGCUAGUUUGAAAGAGCCCUGUAUUUUUCCAUUCCUAUAGUUUAUUUACUGCCACUUCAUCUGGUACUCGUAGGAAGGCUGUAUGACUGUGGUAGCACAAGAAACGGUUCCUCCGGGGGAUAGAUGAGCUCCCCGAUAACAUCAUGCGGGAAACUUUAUGAAGCCCUUCAAACAGCCAGGUCUACACUGAAGCCGUUAUGUAGUGAGGAAUAUCUGAGAGCAGAAGUCCUGUGAAGCCGUAACUUGUGUCCGGGCUGCUACACUUCAAAAGCAUGGGCAGGAAGAAAAGGUAUGUUUUUUCUUUUUAACACAGUUUGGAAGCAGAUGAGUACUUAAUCUCUU